GCAGAUUUACGUUACUCUGUGGGGGGUUUAUGCUGAUCAGAUUAUUGAAUUUCAAAGAGAACAUAAGGAUGAAAAAAAUGUUGUUGUGGUUGUUCAGUUUGGCAAGUACCGUUUUUGGGGAGGAAAUUUGUUCGUAUCCAAUUUGUAUACUGUAACUCGAGUGUUCAUAAACACUGAAAUUCCCGAGAUUUUGGAAUUUAAAAGAAGGCACGUAAUCUUAUUACGAUUUUGUUUUAUAGUCUACUUUAUGUACAUAUUAGUCUAAAAAAUGGCAUUAUUUCUGUACAGUUUCCUUGCUCAGAUGAAUACGUCAACGUCUUCCGGUUACUCUGGUUUGAGUUCCCCUGUUAUGAAGUCAAUGGCUGAGGAGUAUCUUUCUGAUAUUUCCUUCAGUACAAUUGGAGCAUUAACCGGAAUAUCAGAAGAAAAGUUUGUUAUUAUACUUGGAACAAUUAAAAGCUUUGCUUCAGAAGACUC